AAUUUCUCCGGUCGGUCUCUCCUCUCCCGUCGCACGCCCAUCUUCUCUCCUCUCCCUGCCCGCCGCCCUUCUCUCCUCCACCCGCGGCCCGCCGCCUUCCGCUCAGGGGCCACCCGGAGCGCUCGGCUGCUCGCCACCCGGAGCUCUGCCGCGUGAUGCUCGGCUUGCGAGCCGCCCGGGUCUUCCUUCGCCCGUACUGUUCCGCCCGGGAGCAGGCUUCCAAAGGCGUCCGUUGAUGGCCAGCGGAAAAUUUCUGCGUGGCUUGCCUCCGCGUGCUGCCAAAGCAAAGAAAAAGGAAGGUAGAUCGAGAGAGAGAGAAAAGAUGGGAUCUGUUUGGCCGACGGGCCAUAUGCGACUUCGACCUCGCCGUCGGUGUUCGACCUGCUGCCGCAACUGUCCGCUGAUGAGCAGGCACGGUUUCCGUCGCGGGGCCGCCGUAUGCCCGAGCACCAGGCCCUGACGGCGGAUUCUCCGCCAAAGCCUAUAUGCCCCCCUAUGCGAAUUGGAUACACUAGUGAAGCCUCUCGCAUGCACUUUGUCCAUGAUGCUCUCCGUCACUACAAUGCUGGACACGGUGCUGAGUUUGAUGCUGUGAAGCCUCUGAUAGAAGAUAGCGUGAAUUUCAAGGGCAAACCGUGGUGUUCAUCAAUUUUUUGGCUCGCAGCCGUAGUAGCAAAAAUAUAAAGCAUUUCUUUGCUGAGGUGCACUACGAGCCACCCACUGAUGGGCGGCCCUUCUCACGACUUCCUGUGGUUGAAGCAUGCAUAAUCCUUGAUGAGUCGUCUAGCAAGUACAGGAGCAGCUGUGCAUUCUGUCGAAGUCAUCUGGAAGUUUUGCACCCGGUAGAUGACCAUGAUUUUGUUUGUGGAACUGGGAAGGACAAGGACUGGAUGAUUAAAGAAUUGCUUGGGAUGCGACUCAUAAGCCGUCGGGAUCUGGCCUCCAACAGUGAGGGCUAGUUUGGCAGCAGGCGUUGAUUAACCUAGGGAAGAAAGGCCGUUGUGGGAAUUUCCUUGGACAUUUGAAUCCCCCUCCAUCCACAGGGGCGAUAUCCUCCGCAGGGGAAAUUGAAAUUACCCUGCUUCUGUUUGGAAGCUAAAUGCUCUGUUCAUUGGCGUUUGCUUACUUUAUUUUUGCUGGUGCAUUACAAUAGAGAAACUAUGGGCAUUACUUUACUGGUCCAUGUAAGCAACAUUUUAUCAGGAGAUAAAUGAGGGCCUGUUUGGCAGGGCUCUGGUUCUUCCAAAAA